rnacentral:rRNA from 1 species
UACGUAGGGGGCUAGCGUUGUCCGGAUUUAUUGGGCGUAAAGAGCGUGUAGGCGGCCAUACAGGUCAGCUGUGAAAACUCGAGGCUCAACCUCGAGACGUCGGUUGAAACCGUAUGGCUAGAGUCCGGAAGAGGAGAGUGGAAUUCCCGGUGUAGCGGUGAAAUGCGCAGAGUAUCGGGAAGAACACCUAUGGCGAAGGCAGCUCUCUGGGACGGUACUGACGCUGAGACGCGAAAGCGUGGGAGCAACAGG